rnacentral:ncRNA from 1 species
GCAUCCAGUACGGUAACGCGAACGAUCCCGGAGAAGCUGGUGGGAGCCCCAGGGAGUUUUCUAUUUUCUUUGUGAAGGGCAGGGCACCCUGAAAUGGGUUCGCCCCGAGAGAGGGGCCUUGGAAAUCAUUGUGGUUUCGGCGUCGUCCGGUGAGCUCUCCCUGGCCCUUGAAAAUCCGGAGGAGAGGGUAAAUCUC